rnacentral:rRNA from 1 species
UACGUAGGUGGCAAGCGUUGUUCGGAUUUACUGGGCGUAAAGGGCGCGUAGGCGGCCACCGCAAGUCGGUUGUGAAAUCUCUGGGCUUAACCCUGAAAGGUCAACCGAUACUGCGGGGCUAGAGUGCAGAAGGGGCAACUGGAAUUCUCGGUGUAGCGGUGAAAUGCGUAGAUAUCGAGAGGAACACCUGCGGCGAAGGCGGGUUGCUGGGCUGACACUGACGCUGAAGCGCGAAAGCUAGGGGAGCGAACGGG